rnacentral:lncRNA from 1 species
CUGCAACUUUUGUUGCAGAAAGCUCGACAUAGGGAUAGUGAUCCGGCGGCGGCGGCGGUAGCUAACUUCUUAAAAGGUUUAUAUUUUAGAAGGUGAAAGACCUGGAUGCUUCAUACUUUGUUUAUAGAUGCCUCAUGUUACGAAGUCUCCGUCAGUCACAUGUCCAAUGUCCUUGACCUCAUUUUCAUGGUUCAGUGACCACUUGAAAAAAAAGUUCAGAAUUUUUGUAAUGUUGAAUUCUCUCUUAUUAUAAGUAAUAGGAUAUCUAUAUUUGGUAUGUGCGUACCUUGCAAGGUCCUCAUGCCCGUCAG